CAGCACCACACCAGGACCCUCCAGAGGCUGUGAGAAACAUCCUGCACCCAGGUCCUCUCUAUCUGUUUAUCAUUGUCUAUUUUGUAUUCUGCAUUCAGAACCAAGAGCCUGAAGACGACCCAGGAGCUUUAGCUAUGGCUGUCUUCAUUAUUUUGUCCCUGUUUAGUGUUCUGGUGACAGGCAUGGGUGAAGGUGGGGCUGGGAGUGAGAAAGGAGGUGAGAGGGAAUGUAAGCUGAACCAGCUUCCCCAUUGCCCCUCCGUAUCUCCCAGUGCCCAGCCUUGGACACACCCUGGCCAGAGCCAGCUGUUUGCAGACCUGAGCCGAGAGGAGCUGACGGCUGUGAUGCGCUUUCUGACCCAGCAGCUGGGGCCAGGGCUGGUGGAUGCAGCCCAGGCCCAGCCCUCGGACAACUGUGUCUUCUCAGUGGAGUUGCAGCUGCCUCCCAAGGCUGCAGCCCUGGCUCACUUGGACAGGGGGAGCCCCCCACCUGCCCGGGAGGCACUGGCCAUCGUCUUCUUUGGCAGGCAACCCCAGCCCAACGUGAGUGAGCUGGUGGUGGGGCCACUGCCUCACCCCUCCUACAUGCGGGACGUGACUGUGGAGCGUCAUGGAGGCCCCCUGCCCUAUCACCGACGCCCCAUGUUGUUCCAAGAGUACCUGGACAUAGACCAGAUGAUCUUCGACAGAGAGCUGCCCCAGGCUUCUGGGCUUCUCCAUCACUGUUGCUUCUACAAGCGCCGGGGACGGAACCUGGUGACAAUGACCACGGCUCCCCGUGGUCUGCAAUCAGGGGACCGGGCCACCUAGUUUGGCCUCUACUACAACAUCUCGGGCGCUGGGUUCUUCCUGCACCACGUGGGCUUGGAGCUGCUAGUGAACCACAAGGCCCUUGACCCUGCCCGCUGGACUAUCCAGAAGGUGUUCUAUCAAGGCCGCUACUAUGACAGCCUGGCCCAGCUGGAGGCCCAGUUUGAGGCCGGCCUGGUGAAUGUGGUGCUGAUCCCAGACAAUGGCACAGGUGGGUCCUGGUCCCUGAAGUCCCCUGUGCCCCCGGGUCCAGCUCCCCCUCUGCAGUUCCAUCCCCAAGGCCCCCGCUUCAGUGUCCAGGGAAGUCGAGUGGCCUCCUCACUGUGGACUUUCUCCUUUGGCCUCGGAGCAUUCAGUGGCCCAAGGAUCUUUGACGUUCCCUUCCAAGGGGAGAGGGUGGCCUAUGAAGUCAGUGUCCAGGCGGCCUUGGCCAUCUAUGGAGGCAAUUCUCCUUCUGCUCUACGAAGCCGGUACAUAGAUAGUGGCUUUGGCUUGGGCCACUUCUCCACGCCCCUGACCCAUGGGGUGGACUGCCCCUACCUGGCCACCUACGUGGACUGGCACUUCCUUUUUGAGUCCCAGGCCGCCAAGACAAUACGCGAUGCCUUUUGUAUAUUUGAACAGAACCAGGGCCUCCCCCUGCGGCGACACCACUCAGAUCUCUACUCCCACUACUUUGGGGGCCUUGCGGAAACGGUGCUGGUCAUCAGAUCUGUGUCUACUAUGCUCAACUAUGACUAUGUGUGGGAUAUGGUCUUCCACCCUAAUGGGGCCAUAGAAAUCAGACUCCACACCACCGGCUACAUCAGCUCAGCAUUCCCCUUUGGUGCUGCCCAGAGGUAUGGAAACAAAGUUUCAGAGCACACCCUGGGCACGGUCCACACCCACAGCGCCCACUUCAAGGUGGACCUGGAUGUAGCAGGUAAGGCAUCCUGGCAGAGGCAAAAGUGCUGGAGGGGUGAGCUGAAGUCUCCAUGCCUAGCUUUAAAAGUUUUCGUUGGGCUGGGAGCAGUAGCUUAUGCCUGUAAGCCCAACACUUUGGGAGACUGAGGGGGGUGGAUCACUUGAGGUCAGGAGUUCAAAACCAGCCUGGCCAACAUGGCGAAAUCCUGUCUGUACUAAAAAUACAAAAAUUAGCUGGGCAUGGGUAUGCUGUAAUCCUAGCUACUCGGGAGGCUGAGGCAGGAGAAUCACUUGAAUCUGGGAGUCAGAGGUUGCAGUGAGCUGAGAUUGAGCCACUGCACUCCAUCCUGCGUGACUGAAC